UCCUUGGAGGAUUAGUGGUUAGGCCUCAGCGCUCUCACCGCCAUGGCCUGGGUUCAAUUCCUGGCCAGGGAA
rnacentral:tRNA from 1 species